GCGGAGAAUGGUUUGCUCGGCUUCUUGUGGGCGGUUGCUGGCCUUUGUUAAGCAAGCGAACGGUUAAAGUCCUUUGUGGACCCCUCCACCCUAACUCACUAGAGACCCAAACAACUUGAACAAUGAAUUUGCUUUGAGCCAUCACUACGGAGCUGGCGUCUGUCUGCAUGGAGCCUAAGAGGUUCACGGUGGCUCGUCUGGAGCAUCAGAACUUUAUGAACAGCACACACUGUGCUGAGUUCUUUACCUGUUAGCAUGUUAACCCGUCAACCCCAUGCAAAAGCCCACUUCACAGAGUGAAGCAACUGUCACUGUCACAGGAUUAGUGAGUGGGUCCAGAGACCUGGUCCCGUUUGAAACAGUAUUUUUGCUAUUUAGCAAGUUCAGUGAAGUAAACAGAUCAAAGGACGGAUUGACAACACUUGGAGCUGGAGAAAAGGCUCAGCUGUUGGGAGCACUAGACUAGAGGUCCUGGGUUCAACUCCCAGCAUCCACAUGUCAGCUCACAACUGUGUGUACCUCCGGUUUCAGGGAAUCCAUGGCAACGGGUGCAUGGUGCACAUGUAGACCCAGGAAGGCAGAAUACCCAUACACAUAAACUAGAAUAAAAUAAAUCUUUUAACAC
rnacentral:lncRNA from 1 species